GGGUCUCUAUGUGGAGAUCACUCCUCUUGGAGCUCUUCUAUGAGUCCAGAACACAGAUAUCAGUAAAAUUCACAUGAAGAUUCUUGACUUCAAUAAGCUCUUCAUAUUCAAAUUAUUAAUAAAUUUUACUGAUCACAACAAAAUCCUUCUUUAACUCCUGGCUCUGCAAAACUCCAAUUGCAUCACAGUCUAAUUUUCUAAUGAAGUUAUAGAACGGAGCCUUACGGAAUGAGGCCUUAACGACUGUACAAGGAUCUUGUCUCAAACAAGGAGCCUUAACGACUGGCGGAGGUUGAAAGAAUGGAGCCUCAACGACUCAGAUUGGAAGCAGAGUGGGUAGACUCUGUUUGUCUCCACUUUCUCUUGUGGCUCCUCACGGCUCAUAAGCAUCAGAAAAGGGAGGAGGAGGAGCACAACUACCAGAGACCCUCGUAAGAAAGCCCCCGAGUACUCAAUUUUGGUGCCAACCCGAGGGCGAGCCUGGACCAACUAGACUAUAUAAAAGUGAAAACGCACGUUUACCGUCACUUGCAGACCAAGACCUCAGACUCCAGACAACGCUGGAUCCAGAAGUGGUGAAAUACAUCUACCUCUAAAUCUAUCUCCCUUUCUCUUCUUCAUUCUCGAUCUUCUUUUAUUCAUCAUCUUCUGCAGCUGUUGCCUAAAUUUGCCUUAAAUUCUUUGAUAAAGAAAUAACAACUAUGCUAAGGAAACCUUAUCCUUUAUGCUUACUAAUUGUUGUUAGAAAGUUCUUUAAUUUUGCCUUGAAGUAGCUGGCUAGCUGUUGUUAAGAAAGCUCAAUAAAUUGUUCUGUAUUGUUCCUCUGGGUCAUUUUCUGACCCCUGGAGGGCAGUGGGUGCCCUAUAUACUCGGAUUCCAGAGGUUCACCUUUCUUACAACUCACUGAGUUGGACAAGACUGCUUGUGUGAACGUUAACCCUUAAGGUUUUUUUUGAAUAACUGUAAUUUCUGCGGUGUUCUGUUAAUUGUUCUUAGUUUAAUACUUGUUUUGUAACACUGGAAAAUAAACUGUUUUCGCUGAUGAGAA